rfam:Endozoicomonas elysicola strain DSM 22380 scaffold00001, whole genome shotgun sequence.
UGCCGGUCCCCCCGCAAUAAUCAGCUACGAACCCCGCCAGGCCCGGAAGGGAGCAACGGUAGUAGUGACAUUAUGUGCCGGGGUGUGGCUGGUAGGG